rnacentral:rRNA from 1 species
AACGAACGCUGGCGGCAUGCCUAACACAUGCAAGUCGAACGAGAUCCUUCGGGGUCUAGUGGCGCACGGGUGCGUAACGCGUGGGAAUCUGCCCUUAGGUUCGGAAUAACAGUUAGAAAUGACUGCUAAUACCGGAUGAUGACGUUAAGUCCAAAGAUUUAUCGCCUGAGGAUGAGCCCGCGUAGGAUUAGCUAGUUGGUGUGGUAAAGGCGCACCAAGGCGACGAUCCUUAGCUGGUCUGAGAGGAUGAUCAGCCACACUGGGACUGAGACACGGCCCAGACUCCUACGGGAAGCAGCAGUGGGGAAUAUUGGACAAUGGGCGCAAGCCUGAUCCAGCAAUGCCGCGUGAGUGAUGAAGGCCUUAGGGUUGUAAAGCUCUUUUACCCGGGAUGAUAAUGACAGUACCGGGAGAAUAAGCCCCGGCUAACUCCGUG